CAACUUUCAACAACGGAUCUGCUUGGUUCUG
rnacentral:rRNA from 1 species